AGGUGCCCUGACAGUUAUGUCCUAGAACAAUGCACCGUAGUGAGUUUCAGGAUAGCAUGUUUUCUUCUUAAGCCUUACCUCCUAUGUCUUUUAUCUCUCUACAUCUACUGGCUUGUGCCACCUCUGGUGGAUGAAGGCACCUACAGCCCAAUACUAUGGCUAAACAAGCAUGCCGGAAAGCUUGAAGAACAUCAUCUGCCCUUUACAGAGCAAAAGCAUCCUCUGAGUAGCUAAAGCUUGGACUUCUAAGUAAGGCAUCGAUGAAGAGAUCAUCCCAAUUCUGUUGACUUCCUGAAGUAAUGCUCAGUGCCAAGAAAUCUCUUCAAUCUUUAAAAAUCUAUCUGGCAAGACAUUUUAGCAACCAACCCUAAACCUAACGAUGGAUAAAGAAACUCAGAAGAGGAAACUCAGAAGAGGAAAAGGUCUAUUCAGCCCUGAAAGAUGAAGACUUGUUUCUUCAAUUACUUCAAAGAUCUGAACAAAACAACAUCUUAGGAAGGAGAGCCCCAAAGAGAGGCAUCCAUGGUCCAGAUUAGUGGUACAA